AUGGUCCAUGCCGAGCAGAAGCUGAUGGAUGACCCUCUGAACAAAACCCGUUACAACAACGUGAUCCACCCAGCCACCAGCUCCUCACAGCUCAUCUCCAUCGAUACGGAGCUCUCCCUGGCCCAGUGCAUCAGUUGGGUUAGAACCCCUCCCCUGGAAGCGGCUCUGAGGGGAGCAGUCACAUGUGGAGAGUGCAGGGCGCUGUGUCCAGCCAGGGGAAGGAGGACACCAAGGGGGUUGACCCUCCUCUGGCCAGGUGGCUGCCUUCUGACACACCAGCCUCUCUCUCUAGCACAGUGGCCCCCACACACCUACAGCCCUCAAGAAAGUUUUGGCCAAAUAAACGAACAGCUCCGUCUCCCAGGAGGAAGCACAGCUGAAGGAUGCGGAGGGUAGUAGAGUUGUAGAUGCUCCGCCCCCUCUCUCCACAGUCAGACCAGAAAGAAGGGGGCUUUCAGCCAGGCUCUCCCAGGCUGGGGUCUGAGUGUCACUGUCCAGCUAUUGGCUUCUUGCUUAACAGGUCAGCCCAGCUGCUCCUGUACAACUGCCACCCUAGUGAGGGUGAACCAGCAGGCGAGUGACAUGUCUGAUAGUUGGGGAUACAGGAAAGAUUAGGCUGUGGGCUGCUGGGCCAGGAAGGGGUGUUUUUUUCCAGGGUUUGUUUAUCUAUUGACUUGAUGAGGGAGGGUUAUAGGUACAACCAGUUUAAAGAUGGAAAUUUUGAGAGAGCAGACAGGGACUUAGUGCUGGGUAAGGCAAGCAGGUUUGUCAAAGCAGCUCUUUUGGGGAGGCCAGAAUCCUGUACCAAUGUCGACAGCAGGUUCAUCAGCUGCUGGGGGAGUGCCGGACAGGGUUAAAGCACAGGAGAACUUUCUGGAUGAUAGGAAUGUUCUAUAUCUUCAAAGGAGGUGGGUUAUAUGGGUAAUGCAUUUGUUAAAACUCAUCAAAAUGUAAAGCAGAUCUGUGCAUUUUACUGAAUGUAAAUUAUACUUCAAAUUAAAAACAUUUUUUAAAAGACAGAUGGGCCGGACGCAGUGGCUCACGCCUGUAAUCCCAGAACUUUGGGAGGCCAAGGCGGGUAGAUCACCUGAGUCAGGAGCUCGAGACCAGCCUGGAAAACAUGGUGAAGUCCUGUCUCUAUUAAAAAUAUAAAAAUUAGCCAGCUAUGGUGACAUACGCCUGUAAUGCCAGCUACUCAGGAGGCUGCGGCAGGAGAAUUGCUUGAACCCAGGAGGCAGAGGUUACAGUGAGCCGAGAUCCUGCCACUGCACUAGAGCCUGGGCAACAGCGGGACUGCAUCUCAGAAAAAAAAAAAGACAUGAAGGUUUUCACUGAAGGCAGAGUAGCUUGUUAUAGAUUAGCCUCCCUACAAGAGCAGUUUAAAAACCCGGACAAAAAUGUGCCCCCCACCAAAAACAACUGUUUGAAGGUAAUUGGAGACCUUAGCCAGGACUUGAGUGACCAGGCCUAGGAGGUGACCCUGACAGUCUGUACUGCUUUUCCCACAUUUGGUGACUGGUAAACAACAGAGGGCUAAGAGGUUAAGAAACUGAGUCUGAAGUGGUAGUUAAGAGGCUGGAGAGCCUAGCUGAAUGUUUGGCACUCACAGGGUUGAACUGACCUAAUGAGAAUUUGGGUCCCAGUAAGGAGAUGGGACCUUGGUGGGGACCCUGGAAGGGUCACCCCUAGGAGUCCAAAUGAAUAAAAAGUAGACCAGCCAUCACAAAGACUAAAGCCUGCUUUGAACCAGCUUAGUCCCAAACUACAUGAAGGUGAUCUGCGCUUACUCCAAUUGUGUGCCAUAAAGUCAAAGUCAAUACUCUCUGGAGGCAGAUAAAAGUUUACUAGGAAUGCCGUAAGACAAGACUAAAUGAGAAAGAACAAGGAAAAAAAAAAACAAAAACCCAAAAACAAUAGAAACACACAUGUAAGGAAGAUAAGCAAGAAACUUUUUUUUUUUUUUUUUUUGGAGACGGAGUCUCGCUGUGUCACCCAGGCUUGAGUGCAGUGGCACAAUCUCAGCUCACUGCAACCUCUACCUCCCGGGUUCAAGCGAUUCUCCCGCCUCAGCCUCCCAAGUAGCUGGGAUUACAGGCAUGCGCCACCAUGCCCGGCUAAUUUUUGUAUUGGCCAGGCUGGUCUUGAUCUCCUGACCUCAGGUGGUCCAUUCAUCUCAGCCUCCCAAAUUGCUGGGAUUACAGGUGUGAGCCACCGUGCCUGGCCAGUAUUUUGCCACUAUUUAAAAUAAAUAAAUUUUUUUUCUUUUUUUUUUUUUUUUUCAGGUUUGUGUUCUGACUAUAUUGUAAACAGUCACACGGCAGCUGACUCUUCU
rnacentral:lncRNA from 1 species